GGCGGACGGCGUGAGUAAGUACGUGGGAACGUGCCCUUUGGUUCGGAAUAACUCAGGGAAACUUGAGCUAAUACCGGAUGUGCCCUUCGGGGGAAAGAUUUAUCGCCAUUGGAGCGGCCCGCGUCUGAUUAGCUAGUUGGUGAGGUAAAGGCUCACCAAGGCUACGAUCAGUAGCUGGUCUGAGAGGAUGAUCAGCCACACUGGGACUGAGACACGGCCCAGACUCCUACGGGAGGCAGCAGUGGGGAAUCUUGCGCAAUGGGCGAAAGCCUGACGCAGCCAUGCCGCGUGGAUGAUGAAGGUCUUAGGAUUGUAAAAUCCUUUCAGCGGGGACGAUAAUGACGGUACCCGCAGAAGAAGCCCCGGCUAACUUCGUGCCAGCAGCCGCGG
rnacentral:rRNA from 1 species